UUGCUUACGAUGGUGGAAAAACCAAAAAAAAAAAAGGAUUUUGAUAGUGAUUGUUGAUGUUUUUUUUUUUUUUCCUUCUUUUUUUUUGCGCGCUUUUCAUCAUCGUCGUGAUCGUCGUGUGGUGUGUUCUUUGAUUCCUGAUAAAGCCGUCAUUGAAUAAAUGCGUCGAAAUCUCUCUCUCUAAAUUGCAUUUCUGAUUAUGUUAAAUUAUGUGAAACAAUCGUUGUUUGAAAUCAUGAAAUGAACUCAAAUCAAAUGAAAAUAAAUUAUGUUGUUUUUCGCUGAUAGAAUCUCCUGCUCUAAUAGGAUAUUAAAUAAUGCGAAACAAUCGUUAUACUCUAAAAAUUUAAGCCUAUAAUUUUAAUAUUUAACAGUUUAAUUUGAGUGCAUAGAGUAUUAAAGAUAAAUAUAGUGUGGCUACUGUAGAAGAUCAAAAUGUUGUUUUUUUCUCUGUGCGCAAAUAUUGUUGGUGUUCAUAUUUUGACACACAUCAUCACUGUACAACACAAAUUUAUCGGCAUGAGCAGUACAGGCAACAUGUGUUGGCUGUGCCAGAUUGUGCUGAGUGACACGACAAUCCUUGCUUUAGAAAAAUUAAAGAGAUGGUACUUUGAUGCGGCCGGUGUAAAACACUAAAUUCAUAUCAAAGAUGAGAUCUUUUGCGCCGCGGGUCGAGAUGAAAGUUUUAAUUUCGCCUUAAAGUGAUCACCUGUAUGUAUUCUUCUUCCAUUGAUCAAUGGAAUUGAUAUACAAGUAGCAUAUCUCGUCAGGUUCUGUUUACUUAAGGAGAAGAAGAGAAGAGAAAUUGGAAUGUGCUUGGUUGGUUGGUUGUGUCUGCAACAUAUCUGUAUUUGCUUUCUAAAUGAUUUGCGAGAACAAAAUAUACGCAUCAUUAGUUGUUCAGAUGAAGAACUAGCUUGGCAAUAUGCUGAAUGGUAAUUGAAGUUCCAGCUGUUCUGUAACAGGACAUACGAAUCGAUAAAUUACGCAUGAUUGCACUUUCUGUGUCUUUUUGCUGAUAUUGAUCGUUCUGCACCUCUGCCUCUAUUUACAAUAAUUCAAUUUUCAUUCAUGUGAACGGCACGAGUUAGAAGUAAAAACAAUGUAUCUGUUCUAUUACUGCCACUAUAUGUUUCGAACUUUGAAGUAGUUUCCUCUAGCAAAAACAACACUUCAUGCCACUCGGUUUAUUGAAUGGGAAAAAGGUUACACAUAUACUGUUAAAUGACUGCACAAAAGGGAAAACCAUUAACAAACUCAGCAUUUCUCGGGUUUUACGACUCAUAUCCAUGAUUCAAGGGUGUAGUUGUACUUGAAGGAGUUCACGCCGCUUAUAUGUGCCAGAAUAUCUGAGGAGUCCAGUAUACCUUCUUCUUCCUUCACUGCCACCUGAACGACACAACACUUUCUUAUUAGGGGCGAAUCAUACGCCUCACUAAAUGCAAACAUGGAUUAUAUUAAACUCUGUUGAAGAUUCACAAUGUAGGGAUACAUAUCAGUUAAGUAACUUAAUGGAGUUGAAUUUACUUUUGUAAUUUUUUGUGCUGCUUGUAAACUGUUUGAAGCUACUCUUUUCUUUUGAGUUUUCAACUUCUUCAGAAGGAUAUGACAAGAGCAGUUAUAGGACUUACUUCCUCUUCCUCAUCGAAUUCGUGAUUAUGGGAACUGGGCCUCGUUGUCUCGCAAAACUCAUCAUUCUUAGCAAAUCGCCCUCGCACGCGGGGACGGCUGUCGGCUAAAGUCUUUCUGCAAGCAUACUGCAUUUUCGUUUUCAAGAGCCAGCGCCCGACUUUGAAGGUGGAAUCGUCCAAGCCCGAGAUCUCUGACGAAGGUGGUAAGGCCGCCGUCGAGCUUCCGCCGCACCCGCCCAUCAUAUGCUGGCCGCCCCCUCCAACAACCUAUGCAGUGAGUGAUGUUACAUAUGAUUAUGACAUAUUUGAUCGAGAUUGUGUUAGCUGUUCUGAAUUGAAAUCUUUCGAUUUAGGACAAUUUUUUGAAUUUGUUCAAUUUUCCGAUCUGAUGGUAUAUGUAUCAUGUUAUUAAGAUGCCUAAUUUUUCCCGGACAUUUGUACUUAGCUGCCAUUGUAACAUACCUGCAUGUCUCCUGAGCUAUACACCCUCUGCAUGUUAUCUUGACCUGCAUAGAUGCCCACCAUCCCUCCACACUCCAUCAUCCUUUGAUACUCUCCCACUUCCUCCACCAUCCCAUUACUAGUGCUGGUAGUAGCAGUAGUAAAAUACGCUUGGGCAUCUACUACGCCGCCGUUGGUUGCCAUCGGUCCCGGAUACAGCGCCGCCUCUAGACCCAUGUACCCUCCCACCAUCGCCGCUGCAAAGCACUCGUCGUCGAACCCUGUCGUCAGCGCUGACGCUGACGGUGGGCCCCCCAUUUGGAUCGGGAGCAUUGUGUCAUUUGAGUAGACGGCUGCGGCGGUGAUGGCGUCGUUGAGUGCUAUCUGGUUGUUGAACUGGUCCGGAUGGUGGAUGUCAAUGGUGGUGGUGGUAUAAGAGGGGGGACCCGCGAAUGGAAAGUGGAUAGAGGGGAGGAGUUCGGGCUCGGGGUCGGGAUGUUGCUCGGGGCUAAGGAGCGCGGAAAGAGUGGCAGAGUCGAGGGAGGGGAACGGGGAGAGUGCUGCGGCGGCGGCGGCAGCAGCAGAGGCCGAGGCAUCAUCGUCGUAGCAGCAAAGUGGAGUGGUGACGGAUGAUGACGAUACGUCGUCGGAAGAGCGAAGAAGUGGGUCAGAGACCGCGGCAGCGGCAGCGAAGAGGUCGCCGCCACUGCCGUCGUCGCAAAAGUCUAGGAUCUGGGCAGCAAUAGGGCUUGAGAUAUCCUCCUGCAGUUACAAAAUUCAUUAUAUUUCUUACGAAACAACAACGCAAUGAAAAUAUAGAUAUUAAGAUUCUUAUAAAAUGCAUCUAAAAUUUUUUUUUAGCUUA